UACGAAGGGGGCUAGCGUUGCUCGGAAUUACUGGGCGUAAAGCGCACGUAGGCGGUCUUUUAAGUCGGGGUGAAAUCCUGGAGCUCAACUCCAGAACUGCCUUCGAUACUGGAAGACUUGAGUCCGGGAGAGGUGAGUGGAACUGCGAGUGUAGAGGUGAAAUUCGUAGAUAUUCGCAAGAACACCAAUUGCGAAGGCAGCUUACUACACAGUGAUUGACACUGAGGCACGAAAGCGUGGGGAUCAAACAGG
rnacentral:rRNA from 1 species